GUACACUCCUACGGGAGGCAGCAGUGGGGAAUAUUGCACAAUGGGCGCAAGCCUGAUGCAGCCAUGCCGCGUGUAUGAAGAAGGCCUUCGGGUUGUAAAGUACUUUCAGCGGGGAGGAAGGCGAUAAGGUUAAUAACCUUGUCGAUUGACGUUACCCGCAGAAGAAGCACCGGCUAACUCCGUGCCAGCAGCCGCGGUAAUACGGAGGGUGCAAGCGUUAAUCGGAAUUACUGGGCGUAAAGCGCACGCAGGCGGUCUGUCAAGUCGGAUGUGAAAUCCCCGGGCUCAACCUGGGAACUGCAUUCGAAACUGGCAGGCUAGAGUCUUGUAGAGGGGGGUAGAAUUCCAGGUGUAGCGGUGAAAUGCGUAGAGAUCUGGAGGAAUACCGGUGGCGAAGGCGGCCCCCUGGACAAAGGCUGACGCUCAGGUGCGAAAGCGUGGGGAGCAAACAGGAUUAGAUACCCGUGUAGUCC
rnacentral:rRNA from 1 species